GUACGUAGGGUGCAAGCGUUAAUCGGAAUUACUGGGCGUAAAGCGUGCGCAGGCGGUUUUGUAAGACAGAGGUGAAAUCCCCGGGCUCAACCUGGGAACUGCCUUUGUGACUGCAAAGCUAGAGUACGGCAGAGGGGGGUGGAAUUCCGCGUGUAGCAGGGAAAUGCGUAGAUAUGCGGAGGAACACCGAUGGCGAAGGCAAUCCCCUGGGCCUGUACUGACGCUCAUGCACGAAAGCGUGGGGAGCAAACAGGAUUAGAUACCCUGGUAGUCCACGCCCUAAACGAUGUCAACUGGUUGUUGGGUCUUCAUUGACUCAGUAACGAAGCUAACGCGUGAAGUUGACCGCCUGGGGAGUACGGCCGCAAGGUUGAAACUCAAAUGAAUUGACGGGG
rnacentral:rRNA from 1 species